rnacentral:rRNA from 1 species
GCGAAGAUGGCAAGGGCGCACGGCGGAUGCCUUGGCAUAGGAAGUCGACGAAGGACGCGGCAAGCUGCGAUAAUCCCGGGGGAGGAGCAAGCAUCCCUCGAUCCCGGGGUCUCCGAAUGGGGCAACCCGGCAGGGCCCAUACCCUGCCACGCCCGCCUGAACCCAUAGGGCGGCGCGGGACAACCCGGGGAACUGAAACAUCUAAGUACCCGGAGGAAGAGAAAUCAACCGAGAUUGCGCGAGUAGCGGCGAGCGAAAGCGCACCAGCCCAAACCCAUGCGCGUGUAAGCGGCGAGGCGUUGCCGCAUGGGGGUUGUGGGACCGGCCAUCUGCAGGCUCGCGCCCUGCAGGCCCAGUCACAAAGGGAAGCGCAGCCGAACCGGCAUGGAAAGGCCGGCCGAAGCGGGUAACAGCCCCGUAGGCGAAGCGCUGAUCCCCUGGGCGAGCCGGCACCCGAGUAGGGCCGGGCACGUGAAACCCGGUCCGAAGCAGGGGGGACCACCCUCCAAGGCUGAACACUCUCCUAUGACCGAUAGCGCACAAGUACCGUGAGGGAAAGGUGAAAAGCACCCCGAGAGGGGAGUGAAACAGUACCUGAAACCGUGCGCCCACAAGCAGUCGGAGCAGCGCCCAGCGCGCUGUGACGGCGUGCCUUUUGUAGAAUGAGCCAGCGAGUCACGGCAUGCGGCGAGGUUAAGGUUUGAACCGAGCCGCAGCGAAAGCGAGCCUUUAAGAUGGCGACAUGAGUCGCAUGCCGUGGACGCGAAGCCGGGUGAUCUAUCCAUGGGCAGGCUGAAGCGGGGGUAAGACCCCGUGGAGGGCCGAACCCACUUCGGUUGAAAACGGAGGGGAUGACCUGUGGAUAGGGGUGAAAGGCCAAUCAAACCCGGAGAUAUCUCGUUCUCCCCGAAAUAGCUUUAGGGCUAGCCUCGUCCGUUUCCCCGCGGUGGUAGAGCCACCGGACCUCUGAGGGGGCUUCACCGCCUACCGACGGGGACCGAACUCCGAAUGCCGCGCGGGCCAGAGGACGGGAGUCAGAGCGCGUGGGCUAAGCUGCGCGCUCGAGAGGGAAACAGCCCGGACCGCCCGCUAAGGUCCCCAAGUUCGUGCUAAGUGGCAAAGGAUGUGCGUCUGCCCAGACAACCAGGAUGUUGGCUUAGAAGCAGCCAUGCAUUUAAAGAGUGCGUAACAGCUCACUGGUCGAGUGGACAUGCGCCGACAAUUCACGGGGCUCAAGCACGGCACCGAAGCGGCGGACUGAGAAUCCUCAGUGGUAGGGGAGCUUCCCGCGCAGCGGCGAAGCGGGCCCGCGAGGGCCCGUGGAGCGCGCGGGAGUGAGAAUGCUGGCAUGAGUAACGAGAGCAGCGCGAGAAACGCUGCCGCCGUAAGCCUAAGGGUUCCUGGGCAAGGCUAAUCCUCCCAGGGUCAGUCGGGAGCUAAGGCGAGGCCGACAGGCGUAGCCGAUGCGCAACGGGUCGACAUUCCCGUACCGGCUGCGGAGCGCUAUACGACCGGGGUGACGGAGAAGGGUAGCCGGGCGGGGUUCUGGACGUCCCCGUGAAAGCAGGUAGGGAGCUGCCGCAGGGAAAUCCGCGGCAGCGCAUCCCGAGACGCGAGACGAAGCCUAUCGAAGGUGAAGCCGGUGAGCCCAUGCUCCCUAGAAAAACCCCUAAGGAUGCGCCGCAGCCGCCCGUACCAAGACCGACACAGGUAGGCGGGUAGAGCAUACCGAGGCGAUCGGGAGAACCAUGGUUAAGGAACUCGGCAUACUAGCCCCGUAACUUCGGGAGAAGGGGCGCCGCUGCGGGUGACGGGGCUUGCCCCCUGAGCCUGCGGCGGCCGCAGUGAAGAGGCCCAAGCGACUGUUUACCAAAAACACAGGACUCUGCUCAAGUGGCAACACGAUGUAUAGGGUCUGACGCCUGCCCGGUGCUGGAAGGUCACGGGGAUCCGUCAGCGUUCGCGCGAAGCGGUGAACCCAAGCCCCAGUAAACGGCGGCCGUAACUAUAACGGUCCUAAGGUAGCGAAAUUCCUUGUCGGGUAAGUUCCGACCUGCACGAAUGGCGUAACGACUUGGGCACUGUCUCAACCAUGGACCCGGUGAAAUUGUACUGUUCGUGAAGAUGCGAACUACCUGCGGAAGGACGGAAAGACCCCGUGAACCUUUACUGCAGCUUGGCAUUGGCAUCUGGCACGGCGUGUAGAGGAUAGGCAGGAGCCGGAGAAGCCGGGGCGCAAGCCCCGGCGGAGGCGCCCUUGGAAUACUGCCCUCGCCGUGUUAGCUGCCUAACGCGCGGCCGUGACCCGGCGCGCGGACCGUGCCAGGCGGGUAGUUUGACUGGGGCGGUCGCCUCCUAAAAUGUAACGGAGGCGCGCACAAGGUCCGCUCGGAACGGUCGGCAACCGUUCUAUUGAGCGCAAGAGUACAAGCGGGCCUGACUGCGAGGCAGACGAGCCGAGCAGGGACGAAAGUCGGUUCUAGUGAUCCGGCGGCACAGAGUGGAAUGGCCGUCGCUCAACGGAUAAAAGGUACUCCGGGGAUAACAGGCUGAUCUUGCCCAAGAGUCCACAUCGACGGCAAGGUUUGGCACCUCGAUGUCGGCUCAUCGCAUCCUGGGGCUGAAGCCGGUCCCAAGGGUACGGCUGUUCGCCGUUUAAAGCGGUACGCGAGCUGGGUUCAGAACGUCGUGAGACAGUUCGGUCCCUAUCCUCCGCAGGCGCAAGGGAGUUGAGGAGAUCUGCCCCUAGUACGAGAGGACCGGGGUGGACGGACCUCUGGUGACGCGGUUGUCGACCAACGGCACCGCCGCCUAGCUACGUCCGGAACGGAUAACCGCUGAAAGCAUCUAAGUGGGAAGCCGGCUCCAAGAUGAGCUCCCUUUCUGGUAAGGGCCCAGGUAGACCACCUGGUAGAUAGGAUGCAGCUGCAAGCGCGGCGACGCGCUGAGGCGAGCAUUACUAAUCGCCCGAGCUCUUCGCG